rnacentral:rRNA from 1 species
AGUGAACGCUGGCGGUAGGCCUAACACAUGCCAGUCGAACGGCAGCACAGUAAGAGCUUGCUCUUACGGGUGGCGAGUGGCGGACGGGUGAGGAAUACAUCGGAAUCUACUUUUUCGUGGGGGAUAACGUAGGGAAACUUACGCUAAUACCGCAUACGACCUACGGGUGAAAGCAGGGGAUCUUCGGACCUUGCGCGAUUGAAUGAGCCGAUGUCGGAUUAGCUAGUUGUCGGGGUAAAGGCCCACCAAGGCGACGAUCCGUAGCUGGUCUGAGAGGAUGAUCAGCCACACUGGAACUGAGACACGGUCCAGACUCCUACGGGAGGCAGCAGUGGGGAAUAUUGGACAAUGGGCGCAAGCCUGAUCCAGCCAUACCGCGUGGGUGAAGAAGGCCUUCGGGUUGUAAAGCCCUUUUGUUGGGAAAGAAAAGCAGCAGGUUAAUACCCCGCUGUUCUGACGGUACCCAAAGAAUAAGCACCGGCUAACUUCGU